GGCGAACGCUGGCGGCGUGCUUAACACAUGCAAGUCGAACGGAAAGGCCCUGCUUUUGUGGGGUGCUCGAGUGGCGAACGGGUGAGUAACACGUGAGUAACCUGCCCUUGACUUUGGGAUAACUUCAGGAAACUGGGGCUAAUACCGGAUAGGAGCUCCUGCUGCAUGGUGGGGGUUGGAAAGUUUCGGCGGUUGGGGAUGGACUCGCGGCUUAUCAGCUUGUUGGUGGGGUAGUGGUUUACCAAGGCUUUGACGGGUAGCCGGCCUGAGAGGGUGACCGGCCACAUUGGGACUGAGAUACGGCCCAGACUCCUACGGGAGGCAGCAGUGGGGAAUAUUGCACAAUGGGCGGAAGCCUGAUGCAGCAACGCCGCGUGCGGGAUGACGGCCUUCGGGUUGUAAACCGCUUUCGCCUGUGACGAAGCGUGAGUGACGGUAAUGGGUAAAGAAGCACCGGCUAACUACGUG
rnacentral:rRNA from 1 species